GACGAACGCUGGCGGCGUGCUUAACACAUGCAAGUCGAACGGAAAGGCCCUGCUUUUGUGGGGUGCUCGAGUGGCGAACGGGUGAGUAACACGUGAGUAACCUGCCCUUGACUUUGGGAUAACUUCAGGAAACUGGGGCUAAUACCGGAUAGGAGCUCCUGCGGCAUGGUGGGGGUUGGAAAGUUUCGGCGGUUGGGGAUGGACUCGCGGCUUAUCAGCUUGUUGGUGGGGUAGUGGCUUACCAAGGCUUUGACGGGUAGCCGGCCUGAGAGGGUGACCGGCCACAUUGGGACUGAGAUACGGCCCAGACUCCUACGGGAGGCAGCAGUGGGGAAUAUUGCACAAUGGGCGGAAGCCUGAUGCAGCAACGCCGCGUGCGGGAUGACGGCCUUCGGGUUGUAAACCGCUUUCGCCUGUGACGAAGCGUGAGUGAUGGUAAUGGGUAAAGAAGCACCGGCUAACUACGUG
rnacentral:rRNA from 1 species